rnacentral:pre_miRNA from 1 species
UUUUGACUCUUUGUCUUAUUUGAAAUUUUUUUACGAUUAAUAUUUUUAUUUUUACUAGAUGAUAAAAUAUGAAUAGUAUUUUAUAUGUAACUAAUUUUUUAAUAUUUUUUAUAAAUUUUUCAAAUAAGACGAAUGGUCAGGACACGGAAAAAC